GUGGGGAAUAUUGGACAAUGGGGGGAACCCUGAUCCAGCCAUGCCGCGUGUGUGAAGAAGGCCUUUUGGUUGUAAAGCACUUUAAGCGAGGAGGAGGCUACCGAGAUUAAUACUCUUGGAUAGUGGACGUUACUCGCAGAAUAAGCACCGGCUAACUCUGUGCCAGCAGCCGCGGUAAUACAGAGGGUGCAAGCGUUAAUCGGAUUUACUGGGCGUAAAGCGCGCGUAGGUGGCCAAUUAAGUCAAAUGUGAAAUCCCCGAGCUUAACUUGGGAAUUGCAUUCGAUACUGGUUGGCUAGAGUAUGGGAGAGGAUGGUAGAAUUCCAGGUGUAGCGGUGAAAUGCGUAAAGAUCUGGAGGAAUACCGAUGGCGAAGGCAGCCAUCUGGCCUAAUACUGACACUGAGGUGCGAAAGCAUGGGGAGCAAACAGGAUUAGAAACCCCUGUAGUCC
rnacentral:rRNA from 1 species